UUAUCAUAUAACAUUGCUGGGAACUACUGAAACUGUAAAACCCAUCUGAGCCAUCUAGCAAAACCUACUAAAAGAAGAAAUACAGAAAAAUCAGUAACAAAGGCAACAUGGCGUACAUAUAUUUUUGCCCUCGGAUAUCCCCCUCCCCCUCGACGCCCCUACUCGUAACACCAACACACACAACAAUCGACGUUUGUCGUGGAUAUUCAGCCGGCCUUCGCGUUUGCGCAAAGCGUUUCAGAUUAUAAAACAGCUUUCUAUUCGGCUGGCCUCACCCAUUUUGAAACAGCCGGGGCAAUGUUGCCGCUCACGCGUUCUUUUCAAAUUUUUAAGGAAAUAAUUAGGAAUUCAUGUACUAUACAUCGGUCACGUACACCGAGUUCGUGGAAGUGUGCGGUUAUGUGCUUAGUAAACACAAUAAGUCUACUUAACGACGAGGAGUAAAAUUGGAAAGUACGAAAAGCGUUUUGGUGUUAUUGCGAAAAAUGCGACCGAUUCGGCAACACGGCGACACGGUUAAGGCAGUUUAAUCUCAAAGAAUUGGAGCGUCAACAACAGUAAACUAAUAUACCAUCUGGACCAGAAGCUCUUCCAUUCUUCGCAUUUCAAAUAAAUCGAAACACAUUAUUUAAUCAGUCGUCGUCGUCGUCGUCGCAUCGAUGGACCAAACGAACUUUCGACCCAGAAACGCUUCAAAGGUUUCUUAUUCAGCCGGGCCGCAGUCUAGCACAAGCCGGCAACCCAGCCACAAUAGGUGGGGAUAAACAGCCGGGAUCCCGCUAAGGGGACGCGACGUUGCCGGCUGCUUCAUAAAAUCGUCGGUUUAGGGAUAUGUAAUUUUUAAUGCGCAAUAAGGUUUUUAUAGCAAUUAAUUUGAAUGUAAAAGUUAAAUAAAUAUUUAAUCGGUUGCUUG